UACGAAGGGUGCAAACGGUUGCUCGGAAUCAUUGGGCGUAAAGCGCACGUAGGCGGCUUCGCAAAGUCGGAUGUGAAAUCCCUCGGCUCAACCGAGGACGUGCGAUCCGAAACUGCGGAGCUUGAGUACUGAAGAGGAUCGCGGAAUUCCCGGUGUAGAGGUGAAAUUCGUAGAUAUCGGGAGGAACACCAGUGGCGAAGGCGGCGAUCUGGGCAGUUACUGACGCUGAGGUGCGAAAGCGUGGGAGCAACAGG
rnacentral:rRNA from 1 species